AAGUCGAGCGCCCCGCAAGGGGAGCGGCAGACGGGUGAGUAACGCGUGGGAAUCUACCCAUCCCUACGGAACAACUCCGGGAAACUGGAGCUAAUACCGUAUACGCCCUUCGGGGGAAAGAUUUAUCGGGGAUGGAUGAGCCCGCGUUGGAUUAGCUAGUUGGUGGGGUAAAGGCCUACCAAGGCGACGAUCCAUAGCUGGUCUGAGAGGAUGAUCAGCCACAUUGGGACUGAGACACGGCCCAAACUCCUACGG
rnacentral:rRNA from 1 species